GAUUCUGGCUCAGGAUGAACGCUAGCGGCAGGCUUAACACAUGCAAGUCGAGGGGCAUCGGGCGUAGCAAUACUUGCCGGCGACCGGCGCAAGGGUGCGUAACGCGUGAGCAACGUGCCCGUAUCAGGGGGAUAAUCCAUGGAAACGUGGUCUAAUACCCCAUAGUAAUUAUGUAAGGCAUCUUAUAUAAUUUAAAGCUUUGGUGGAUACGGAUUGGCUCGCGUGACAUUAGCUGGAUGGUAAGGUAACGGCUUACCAUGGCUACGAUGUCUAGGGGUUCUGAGAGGAAGGUCCCCCCACACUGGAACUGAGACACGGUCCAGACUCCUACGGGAGGCAGCAGUGAGGAAUAUUGGACAAUGGAUGGAAAUCUGAUCCAGCCAUGCCGCGUGCAAGGAAGACGGCCCUAUGGGUUGUAAACUGCUUUUGUAUGGGAGCAAUAAGGGCUACGUGUAGUCCGAUGAGAGUACCAUACGAAUAAGCACCGGCUAACUCCGUGCCAGCCGCGGC
rnacentral:rRNA from 1 species